rnacentral:rRNA from 1 species
AACGAACGCUGGCGGCAGGCUUAACACAUGCAAGUCGAACGCCCCGCAAGGGGAGUGGCAGACGGGUGAGUAACGCGUGGGAACAUACCCUUUUCUACGGAAUAGCUCUGGGAAACUGGAAUUAAUACCGUAUACGCCCUACGGGGGAAAGAUUUAUCGGGGAAGGAUUGGCCCGCGUUGGAUUAGCUAGUUGGUGGGGUAAAGGCCUACCAAGGCGACGAUCCAUAGCUGGUCUGAGAGGAUGAUCAGCCACAUUGGGACUGAGACACGGCCCAAACUCCUACGGGAGGCAGCAGUGGGGAAUAUUGGACAAUGGGCGCAAGCCUGAUCCAGCCAUGCCGCGUGAGUGAUGAAGGCCUUAGGGUUGUAAAGCUCGUUAACCGAUGAAGAUAAUGACGGUAGUCGGAGAAGAAGCCCCGGCUAACUUCGUG